rnacentral:rRNA from 1 species
AUGGGGUUGGCCAUGAAGUUGCGGAAGCAGGCGGCGCUGCCGGUGCGCAGCACCAGCGUCGGCACGCCCAGCCGCCGCGCCACGUCCACGAGGGUCAGCAGGUGCGCGUCGGCGACCAGGCACGCGACCUCGUCCCCGGCGCCGGGGGCCUCAAGCAACGCGGACAGGCGCUCCCGGAACGGCGCCUCGAGGGAGCCGUUGAGGGCGAGGAUGUGCUCGAGGGUCUCCACCACCGUGCCGGGGCCGACCGCCGGCAGGCCUUCGGGGACGGGGACGAAGUCGUACGGCGGGUGGCGGGACGGGUCGGGCGCGUUAAAGCGGGCGUGGAAGACGGUGACGGCGAAGCCGCGCGCGUGGAGGAGGCCCGCGAGCUGGAACAUGGGGUUGAUGUGUGGCCCUGGUACGGGAGAGGGAAGAGCAGCACGCGGCGGCGGCGGCUGCACGGGCCGCCAGCGGUGGCCGUGUUUGCUUCUCCCGGCGCCAUGGGGUCGGUCGAUAGAUGGGUGUCGUGGCGUCCUGGGUUCCACUUCCAGGGAGGCAGGGACCAAUGGGUGA